rnacentral:rRNA from 1 species
AUGUCAGAGACGGAUCUACCCUUAAUCAUCGAGACGGAUUGCAGAUCGGUGACAAAGGCGAUCAUCCUCUCGUCUAUUGAUAGAUCGGAGGUUGGAACAAUUGCAAAGGAGUUUCAAACCAUGAAAGGGAACAGAGAAGUUAGAGUUUGCAAAGUAGAUAGGAAGGAAAAUAUGUUAGCUCAUAGUCUUGCCCAGUUGGGGCGUAGAGAGUUGCGUGGUGGGGUUAUGCAAGACACAGUGCCAACCUGCAUGUUGAGCGAGACCUUGCACGAUUGCAAUUCUCUCAGCGACGCGCGGCGUAUCAUAUAUUUUAUCCAUACGAACUAUUUCAAAUUCUCUCCCUGCAAAAAAGAAAAACUAAUUCAAAUUCCUGGGCUCCAUUUUGCGCUCCGGCCUGGCCCCCAAAAUUGCUGGACACGGCCCUACCAAUCCAUAAGCGCAGCACCUGGGUCGCGGAAUCCGACAGUCCUCCCGGUUUCGAAUCAGAGAUUCCCCACCUCUCUCGCAAGCUGUCUCUCCGGGAGGAGGAGGACGGAGGCGCGGCCCAGGACGGCACGGCUACCGGAGCUGGCUGAUCGGCGGCUCUAUUAG